rnacentral:rRNA from 1 species
GACGAACGCUGGCGGCGUGCCUAAUACAUGCAAGUUGAGCGCUGAAGGUUGGUACUUGUACCAACUGGAUGAGCAGCGAACGGGUGAGUAACGCGUGGGGAAUCUGCCUUUGAGCGGGGGACAACAUUUGGAAACGAAUGCUAAUACCGCAUAAAAACUUUAAACACAAGUUUUAAGUUUGAAAGAUGCAAUUGCAUCACUCAAAGAUGAUCCCGCGUUGUAUUAGCUAGUUGGUGAGGUAAAGGCUCACCAAGGCGAUGAUACAUAGCCGACCUGAGAGGGUGAUCGGCCACAUUGGGACUGAGACACGGCCCAAACUCCUACGGGAGGCAGCAGUAGGGAAUCUUCGGCAAUGGACGAAAGUCUGACCGAGCAACGCCGCGUGAGUGAAGAAGGUUUUCGGAUCGUAAAACUCUGUUGGUAGAGAAGAGCGUUGGUGAGAGUGGAAAGCUCAUCAAGUGACGGUAACUACCCAGAAAGGGGCGGCUAACUACGUG